CUACAAUAUAGCUGUUAAGUGCUGUGUUGUCGUUCCCCCUGCUCAAAAUAAAGUUGUUUCUUAACUAUACCUGUCUGCUAGUCUCCUGUAGCAGCCAGGGACGCUUGGUCUCAUACAUGUUGAUUAAAAUUAAAUACUGACCUGACUGGUGAUUCUUGAAUUAAGGUUUAUUAAUUUGCAGCAUGGUGACAUGGACCAGAAGGAGAGAGAUGUUAUCAUGAGGGAAUUCCGGUCAGGGUCAAGUCGUGUUCUGAUCACUACUGACUUGUUGGCUCGCGGGAUUGAUGUGCAACAAGUGUCUUUGGUUAUAAAUUAUGAUCUACCUACCAAUCGUGAAAACUAUAUUCACAGGAGUCGAUAGCAGCAGUUGAUGACGAGAUGGCACUCAGAAACGGCGUUGACGUAAUUUAGGACGUGGAAUCAUAAGCGAAACAGCACACUGUUUGAAUAAAGAGCGAGUCGAAUUGGCAGAGGGGGUCGAUUUGGGAGGAAAGGUGUGGCUAUAAACUUUGUUACUGAAGAAGACAAGAGGAUUCUUCGUGACAUUGAGACUUUCUACAAUACUACAGUGGAGGAGAUGCCCAUGAAUGUGGCUGACCUUAUUUAAUUCCUGGGAUGAGAGUUUUGGA
rnacentral:sRNA from 1 species